rnacentral:rRNA from 1 species
AGUGAACGCUGGCGGUAGGCCUAACACAUGCAGGUCGAACGGCAGCACAGUAAGAGCUUGCUCUUACGGGUGGCGAGUGGCGGACGGGUGAGGAAUACAUCGGAAUCUACUUUUUCGUGGGGGAUAACGUAGGGAAACUUACGCUAAUACCGCAUACGACCUACGGGUGAAAGCAGGGGAUCUUCGGACCUUGCGCGAUUGAAUGAGCCGAUGUCGGAUUAGCUAGUUGGCGGGGUAAAGGCCCACCAAGGCGACGAUCCGUAGCUGGUCUGAGAGGAUGAUCAGCCACACUGGAACUGAGACACGGUCCAGACUCCUACGGGAGGCAGCAGUGGGGAAUAUUGGACAAUGGGCGCAAGCCUGAUCCAGCCAUACCGCGUGGGUGAAGAAGGCCUUCGGGUUGUAAAGCCCUUCUGUUGGGAAAGAAAAGCAGCAGGUUAAUACCCCGCUGUUCUGACGGUACCCAAAGAAUAAGCACCGGCUAACUUCGUG